rnacentral:rRNA from 1 species
CUACGGGGGGCUCCAGCCGAGAAUAUUCCGCAAUGGGCGAAAGCCUGACGGAGCGGCGCCGCGUGAUUGAUGAAGCUCUUCGGAGUGUAAAAAUCUUUUAUAAGUGAAGAAGUACGCUGACAUUAACUUAUGAAUAAGGGGCUCCAAACUUCGUGCCAGCAGGAGCGGUAAUACGAAGGCCCCAAGUGUUAUCCGGAAUUAUUGGGCGUAAAGGGUGCGUAGGCGGCUGUAUUAGUCGUAGGUUAAAGAUCCGGGCUCAACCUGGAGAAUGCCUACGAAACGGUAUGGCUAGAGUAUGUGAGAGGUGUGCGGAACUUAUGGUGUAGGGGUGAAAUCCGUUGAUAUCAUAGGGAACACCAAAUGCGAAGGCAGCACACUGGCACAUUACUGACGCUGAGGCACGAAACCCUGGGUAGCGAAUGGGAUUAGAUACCCCCGUAGUC